UAGGGAAUCUUCCACAAUGGACGCAAGUCUGAUGGAGCAACGCCGCGUGAGUGAAGAAGGCUUUCGGGUCGUAAAACUCUGUUAUUGAAGAAGAACGUGUGUGACAGUAACUGGUCAUGCAGUGACGGUAUUCAAUCAGAAAGUCACGGCUAACUACGUGCCAGCAGCCGCGGUAAUACGUAGGUGGCAAGCGUUGUCCGGAUUUAUUGGGCGUAAAGCGAGUGCAGGCGGUCUUUUAAGUCUGAUGUGAAAGCCUUCGGCUUAACCGAAGAAGGGCAUCGGAAACUGGGAGACUUGAGUGCAGAAGAGGAGAGUGGAACUCCAUGUGUAGCGGUGAAAUGCGUAGAUAUAUGGA
rnacentral:rRNA from 1 species